UCUCCCUUCCUGGGCUCCCUCUAUCCUCCUCUCACAGCAGGGAAACGUUCCAGGUUGUUCCCACGCACCCUGUGAGAGGCCACGGGGAAGGGCCCAACAGACUCGGAAAUCACCAUUUAUUGAGCACCUACUAGGUGCCACAGGCUCUGGCAUAAAGCUUUCUACUGAAUCCACAGCCCCCAGCAGCAGGCUUUGUCCCCAGUUUAUGGAUGAAGAAGCUGAGACUCAGAGGUGAAAUGACUUGAUCAAGGUCUGAGGUUAGAGAUUCAUGUUUUGCCCAGAACUUUCUGGUUCCCUAUUGAAAACGCAAGGCCACACGGAGCCAUGACGGUCACUGACACCGCAGUGCAAAAAGCCCGGGAAGACCUUCUGGGGAGCAUAUUUUGCAAGAGGGGGCAGAGACAGAGGGUCAGAGGUCAGGUCAGGGCCUUUGAGCCUCACUCACCAAAGGACCUCCCUACUCCCUGGGCAGUGUCCUUUUAUGAUAUGAUUACUGAAGGCAGGAGAUCUCUUACUAUGAGCAGAUGGCCCGGCCACGUGUGUGGUGAAAACAGCCCUCAGACGAAAGCGGCGAAAGCACACGGACACCUGGUUGCACAUACAAACAGGCACGCGGGCCCACUCGGACGCAGAGACUGACAGUCACGCGGGGACCCUGAUACACACAUGCCCCCCUCCACUCACAGGCAGGCCCCCGCACACCGACACGCAUGUGCAGGUACGCACGCACCGUGCACGCCGUCCUCUUGGACACGCCAGGACAAGCGGGAAACCUCCGACCGCAGGCUCAUUCUUUCACCGGCUUGGCUGGGGCGGGGACAGCAGGUGGCAGGUCUGCCGGAACCCCAGGCUCCGGAAACGGAGACAGAUGAUGGAUCCAGCCAGGGAGAGGGCAGUGGAUGCUGACUCCGGCGGAGAGAUUCAAUGUUGCCAGGAUAUGCUACCCGGGGAAGAGGGUGCAACGGAGACAGAUACACCACUCGCAGAGGGGAAAUCCUACACAGAGCGACACAGCUUUUAUGGAUCAAAGUACAUGCACGUAUGGAAACUGAGACGCACAGAAGCUAAGACGCUUGUUCCAGGACACACGCUUAUGAAGUGACAGAUUUAAACCCAGACCAGUGGACGGCAGAAUUCAUUCGGUGAGCCCCACAGCUCGGGGACCCCAGGGGCCCAGACUCCCACGGGAACCUCGCUAACCCAUGCAUUAGAGGAAAAGGAAGGCGAAGACUGCGGGGCCGGUUUCAGGAUUACGAGCCCUGGCGAGGGGCUGGGCUUCCCAGCACGGUGCUGCCAGAGCUGGAAAGAGAAACUGAACUGAGCUCCCUGGGCCGGGAUCGUGAUUCUCCCCAGCUGCUCACGUCUGGGCUACCAGGACCUGCCGCGCAUCUGGCUGUGGUCUGGCAAGCUGUGGACACAGGGCUGACUCAUCUGCCCUGUGACAAGAAGUCACGUGUGCCUAGCACUUGCUCUGUGCCCGGCACUUUGCUCUGGGCUUUGCAUCCAUUGCUGCUAUGUGCGGUACGACAGGUCCAAUGCUCAUUUUGCAGAUGGGGCAAGUGAGGCCCCAAGAGGGCAAGUCGCUUGCCCAGGGUCCCACGCUGGGGAGCAGAAGGCCUGGGGCGGGAACCGGGCCCCACCUUGCUGGGGAGUCUGAGCUCCCGAGGGCUCCACGCCUCCUGGGUGCCCGGGCGCUGGUGCGCAGCCCUGCGGGACCAGACGCUUGUCAAUCAGCACAUUUCCUUCCUCUCUUCUGGCAUCUGGAUUUGGUUUCAUUUUAAACUCGGGACUUCAGAAAAUGAAACCAAAGGUAACUGUCACCGGUGGCCACGUGUACCUAGUUUAUCCCCAAGCAGCUCUCCUCCUCCUCCUCUUCUUCCUCCCUUGCCAUGCCUCCUUCCUCUGGCCUGUGCUCCCUGGGCUAGGGCUCCCAAAAUGGACACGAGGGGUGAAGCCACGUGUCUGUGGGCUCCGACAUGCUGCCACACCUACAGGCACCCUCUGAAGAACAACAACGGCAAACAGCUCCUGAGUGCUUAUUAUACACCAGGGGCCUUUUUCAGCACCUGACCCAUAAUCGCCCACUUGAUCCCCACCCCAACCCUAGGAGGUCCUAUUAUUAUCCCCAUUUCACAGAUGAGGAAGCCAAGGCAGAAAGGUUAAUCACAUGGUCAAGGUCACAGACUAGAAAGUUGCAGAGUUAGAACUAGCUCUGAGUCCAAAGUCUGGCUUUUAAUUACACACACACACACACACACACACACACUUUAU